rnacentral:rRNA from 1 species
AGAGUUUGAUCCUGGCUCAGGAUGAACGCUGGCGGUCUGCUUAACACAUGCAAGUCGAACGGGCUCUUCGGAGCUAGUGGCGGACGGGUGAGUAACGCGUGAGAAUCUGCCUUCAGGAGGGGGAUAACGACUGGAAACGGUCGCUAAUACCCCAUAUGCCUCCGGGUGAAAAGUAGUUCGCCUGAAGAUGAGCUCGCGUCAGAUUAGCUAGUUGGUGGGGUAAGAGCCUACCAAGGCGACGAUCUGUAGCUGGUCUGAGGGGAUGAUCAGCCACACUGGGACUGAGACACGGCCCAGACUCCUACGGGAGGCAGCAGUGGGGAAUUUUCCGCAAUGGGCGCAAGCCUGACGGAGCAAGACCGCGUGGGGGAUGACGGCCUAAUGGUUGUAAACCCCUUUUCUCUGGGAAGAAGACUGACGGUACCAGAGGAAUCAGCCUCGGCUAACUCCGUGCCAGCAGCCGCGGUAAUACGGAGGAGGCAAGCGUUAUCCGGAAUUAUUGGGCGUAAAGCGUCCGUAGGUGGUUAUUCAAGUCUGCUGUCAAAGCGUGGGGCUUAACUCCAUAGAGGCAGUGGAAACUGAGUGACUAGAGUGCGGUAGGGGUCGAGGGAAUUCCCAGUGUA